rnacentral:rRNA from 1 species
GACGAACGCUGGCGGCGUGCCUAAUACAUGCAAGUCGAGCGGACUUGAUGGAGCUUGCUCCUGAUAGUCAGCGGCGGACGGGUGAGUAACACGUGGGCAACCUGCCUGUAAGACUGGGAUAACUUCGGGAAACAGGAGCUAAUACCGGAUACGUUCUUUUCUCGCAUGAGAGAAGAUGGAAAGACGGUGUCGGCUGUCACUUACAGAUGGGCCCGCGGAGCAUUAGCUAGUUGGUGGGGUAAUGGCUCACCAAGGCGACGAUGCGUAGCCGACCUGGGGGGGUGAUCGGCCACACGGGGACUGGAACACGGCCCAGACUCCUACGGGAGGCAGCAGUAGGGAAUCUUCCGGAAUGGACGAAAGUCUGACGGGGCAACGCCGCGUGAGUGAAGAAGGUUUUCGGAUCGUAAAACUCUGUUGUCAGGGAAGAACAAGUACCAUAGUAACUGAUGGUACCUUGACGGCACCUGACCAGAAAGCCACGGCUAACUACGUGCCAGCAGCCGCGGUAAUAC